rnacentral:rRNA from 1 species
AUUAAACGCUGGCGGCAUGCCUUACACAUGCAAGUCGAACGGCAGCACGGGGGCAACCCUGGUGGCGAGUGGCGGACGGGUGAGUAAAGCAUCGGAACGUAUCCUGGAGUGGGGGAUAACGUAGCGAAAGUUACGCUAAUACCGCAUAUUCUGUGAGCAGGAAAGCAGGGGAUCGCAAGACCUUGCGCUCUGGGAGCGGCCGAUGUCGGAUUAGCUAGUUGGUGGGGUAAAGCCUACCAAGGCGACGAUCCGUAGCGGGUCUGAGAGGAUGAUCCGCCACACUGGGACUGAGACACGGCCCAGACUCCUACGGAGGCAGCAGUGGGGAAUUUUGGACAAUGGGCGGAAGCCUGAUCUAGCCAUG